rnacentral:sRNA from 1 species
CCCAGAGUUCGGAACCUAGAGUUCGGAGCGGGCUAGGGAGCCGGCGUUGUCGCGGCGAGGAGGUGGGCGCGCUGGAGCAGGAGCGGGGCCGGAACUGGAGCCGAGGCGCAGGUGGCGCUGGGUCGCCUGCGAGGCCGCUGGCCAGGCCUGAGCCUCUGCCACCAUGGCCAUUGUGCAGACUCUGCCAGUGCCACUGGAGCCUGCUCCUGAAGCUGCCACUGCCCCACAAGCUCCAGUCAUGGGUAGUGUGAGCAGCCUUAUCUCAGGCCGGCCCUGUCCCGGGGGGCCAGCUCCUCCCCGCCACCACGGCCCUCCUGGGCCCACCUUCUUCCGCCAGCAGGAUGGCCUGCUACGGGGUGGCUAUGAGGCACAGGAGCCGCUGUGCCCAGCUGUGCCCCCUAGGAAGGCUGUCCCUGUCACCAGCUUCACCUACAUCAAUGAGGACUUCCGGACAGAGUCACCCCCCAGCCCAAGCAGUGAUGUUGAGGAUGCCCAAGAGCAGCGGGCACACAAUGCCCACCUCCGCGGCCCACCACCGAAGCUCAUCCCUGUCUCCGGAAAGCUGGAGAAGGUGAGGACCGGCUCUUCCUUGUGGGCCUGGGUAGAACGGGAGUCCUCGCUUGGGAAACUGGAAUUUAGAAGCUUAUAUAGAGGAAAGAGUGUGGGCUCCAGAUUCACCAGACCUGGGUCCUAAUCCCAGCUCUCUCUCAUUCUGGAUGUGUGACCUCAGGGAAGUCACUUAACCUGAGCCUCAGUUUCUAGAACUGACAUGAAGGUCAAAUAAUGUAUAGCAUAGUGCCUA